AAACUCUCACGCCUCUUCGUUCGAUCGACUCAACCCUCGUCUCUCAUUCUCUCACAUCUCCAUUUCUGAACGGUGGUUAGACUCAUUCAACCAUCUUCUUCAUUCAAUCUCACAACCAUGAAUACAAGCCAGCUUCGUCGUCUUCUUCUCGUCUUCGUAACUUCCGGCGCCGCUAGAUAACCACCACCAUCAUCGCCUUCGCUUGAAUCAAAGGUCUCGGAACACCAAUCACAUCCGAAGUACAUCAUUCCUCCAUUUCAACCGCGAUUUUGACUCUUAACACAAAACCCUAGGUUCUUUACGGACAGAAUUGAACAUUCACCGUCACAAAUUGAGCUCAAUUCCUUGGGGGUUCGAUUCACCAUAGCAUAAGCUUCGUGUUGGUGACAAGAACUAAGCAAAGCGGUGAAGUAAAGAAUGAGUUCGGCAGUUACCUAUCAGAGAUUAACAAAUGCAAUUUCGACAACGACGAAGAGAAAAAGAAAACCAGAUGCUCCGCCUUUCAGGGUAAACCAAGAAAUAACACACAGAGAUGAUGUUUCAUAGGAGAUGACAAGGAGACUUUUGA